rnacentral:RNase_P_RNA from 1 species
UGAGCAGGCCGGAUGGCCGCGGGCGCAGCGCCGCAAGGCCGCGCCUGAGGAAAGUCCGGGCUCCGCAGGGCAGGGUGCUGGCUAACGGCCAGUGGGGGCGACCCUAAGGAAAGUGCCACAGAAAUGAAGACCGCCGCGCCGGCGGCAAGGAUGCAACGGUGAGGUAAGAGCUCACCAGCGGCCAGGCGACUGGCCGGCUAGGUAAACCCCACCCGGAGCAAGACCUAGUAGGGGAAGGAUGAGGUCGCCCGCCGACUUCCCGGGAAGGUCGCACGAGGCGUCAGGCAACUGGCGUCCUAGAUAGAUGGUCAUCUUCAACAGAACCCGGCUUACAGGCCUGCUCAUGCG